rnacentral:pre_miRNA from 1 species
GAAAUACUCCCUCCGUCUAACAAGAUAUGUUUUAAGUUUGUCAAAAUUUGGAUGUAUUUAGACAUGACUUAGUGUAUAGAUGCAAAAGUUGAGACAUCCUUUGUUGGACGGAGGUAGUAAGAA